GAGGGCGGGGUCUGCGGCGCUCGGAAGCCAGGCCAGAGGCGAGGAUGGAGAGAUGCACAGAGCAGGUGCAGGCCGCCGGAGCCGGCCGGGCGGCGUGGGCAGAACGCCUGUCCGACCGUCUGGGUUGCUUCUCCGGGUCGCAGGGGUCGUGCCGUGGUCCUGACGCCAGCUGGAGAUCACCAUGGGAAAGCGGCCAGAGCAAACCCAUAUUCCUCACAGGUCUUUAGAGCGGGAAGGUUUUAAUAAGUUUUCACUGGCCUACGCCAAGGCUGACCUUGUGGCUGCGGUAUUCGCCUCGCGGGGACUGGGACCAAGCUGUCUGGACCUGAGCAUCCCUUCUCCCCGAGCAGGACCAGUGAGGUCUCCCUCCCCCAAAUAGAGCGUGGAUUCAACACUUUGAUCCAGGUGGACCCCUGCUUCGAGGACACCCUGGAGAGGACAGUCUACGACCGAUGCUACUCAGGGAACGGGCACAACGGAUUAUCCAGGUGUUGGUCGAGUGGCACCGAUGCCGCCAGGACCGAAGGCAGCGCAGACCUGAGGAGGCCAAAAAGCCGUGGAGGCUGACUCUGGUACCAACUGAGUCAUGUUGCCCGCUGGCCGUGAAGGCAUCGCCCACGGCGCAGGCGAGCGGGCCUGCAAGUCCGAGGUUGAACUGUUCCGGCCCUGGAAGCUGGAGAAAAACAAGUAUUCUCAGGUCCCCGCCUUGCUUUGGCUUUCCUUGUUUAUUGACACACACAGAUUGAUUUCAGGGCUGAUCACUAACCUGAGAAGUUAAAGCAGCCCAGUUCUGUGUUGACGGACUGGAGGGGAAGUGUAUGGUUCCCCCAGAGGACGAGUGGGGUGGGAGAGGGGUGGAGUCGCCUGACUCGGGUUUCAUGGGCCCCCAUUUUUUAGAUCUAAUUUACUCAUCAUUCGUGCUUUAUGUAUCUCAAUUUAAAAAUAAAUCUUCUUUAUUUCAAAGUCAUCAGGAUAUUUUCUGACACUAUAUUCUAAGGAAAAAUUUUGAUUUGCCUUUCAUAGUUCCAUAAUACAAUUGAAAUUAAUUUUUUGUGAACAGUGUGAGAGAGAAUUUAGCUCCUUUAUUUUUCUGUACGCACACCCUGCGUGUUCCAGCAUUAUUUAUUAAAAAAGACUACUAUUCCCCUAUGCUUGUGCAGUGCCACUUUUGUAAAAAUUAAAGAGUUCGUAUGCACAUGGCAGGCAUAUUUUUAUACUGUUCUCUUCAAGUGGCACGUUUGUCCAUUCUUACGUCAAAACCGUAAUAUUUUAAUUACUGUAGUUUUAUCAUAAUAUUUGAAAACCUAGACAAAGUCCUGCUACCUUAUUCUUUUUCAAGGGUGUCUUGAAUAUUCUUCACCUUUUGAAUAUUCAUAUAAAUUGCAGAAUCCACUUGCCAAAUUCCACUAAACAAUUGGAAUUGUGGUUAGGAUUUCUUGAAUCUACAUAUCAAUUUGUGGAGAAUUGGCAUAUUACAGUAUUCAAUUUUUUAAUGCAUGAACUUGGUAUAUUUAUCCAUUUAUUUAAGUAUUCUUUAAUUUCUCGUAGCAACAUUUUAUAAUCUUCUAUAUAAAGGCCUUGCAUAUGUAUUGUUAGACUUGAUCCUUAAUAUUUGGUAUUUUAGUGCUUUUAAAAUUAUAUUUUUAAAAAUUCACUUUUUGCUGUGGUAUGUAGAAAUAAAAUUUAUUUGAAUAUAUUAAUCUUAAGCAACUUUGAGAAACUAACUUAAUUUUAAUAAUUUAACUGUAGAUUCUUCUGUAUUUUUUAUAUAACAUAUCAUCCAUAAAUACCAGCAGUGUUACUUCUCUUCUUUAAAUCCUUAUAAUUUUUGUUUUAGAUAUAAAAUAUGAAUAUAGAAUUUUUUAGGCAUUAGUUAAGACCUCCAUAUACUAUUGAAUAGGAGUAAUGACAGUGGGCAACCUUUCAUUAUUGCCAAUAACAGAGGAAAAGCUUUCAACAUUUCAUGUUUAAAUAAAAUGUUUUUUGACGUAUGUAGAGGAUUAAAUUUACUGACAUAGUUUAUCAUUAUCUGUGCUCCCAUUGUUUAUUACAUCUCCUAGUUUGUAGCAUUGACUAUUUUCUUGUGGUUCUGCCAAUUAUUAGGUGUAUAUAAUUUAAAAUUGUUAUUUAUGUUUUGAAUUGAAUUUUCUAUCUUUAGUAAGCCUUCCUUUUUAUCUGUAGUAAUACUUUUUGCCUUAGAAUCUACUGUGAUAUUAACAGUUAUAUUUGUUUAUUUUGGGGUAGAGUUUACAUACCGUAUAUUUUCUCAUACAAUAUUUUCUCAUUAAAAAUAUUUUUGUAUUCUUAAUAUUUAGAUAUAUUUCUUAGAAAAACUGACUAUAUUUUAUUUUAAGGGAAGCAUUUAGUCUAUUUUCAGUUGAUGUAAUUAUUGAUGUAUUUGAGAUUAAAUCUUUG